rnacentral:rRNA from 1 species
UACGUAGGGCGCAAGCGUUGUCCGGAAUUAUUGGGCGUAAAGAGCUCGUAGGCGGUGUGUCGCGUCGGCCGUGAAAACCUGCAGCUUAACUGUGGGCGUGCGGUCGAUACGGGCAUCACUGGAGUUCGGCAGGGGAGACUGGAAUUCCUGGUGUAGCGGUGAAAUGCGCAGAUAUCAGGAGGAACACCGGUGGCGAAGGCGGGUCUCUGGGCCGAUACUGACGCUGAGGAGCGAAAGCGUGGGGAGCGAACAGG